rnacentral:tRNA from 1 species
GCCUGGGUGGCUCAGUCAGUUAAGCGUCUGACUUCAGCUUAGGUCAUGAUCUCACAGUUUGUGAGUUCAAGCCCCACAUCAGGCU